CUUCACCGAACCCAACCACAACGGCUCGUCGCGGUCCUGACCGUAAGUCGCCAGCAACGCCUGCGCCUC
rnacentral:antisense_RNA from 1 species